rnacentral:lncRNA from 1 species
UUUAAGCCUCUUGAUGAGCCCUUGGAGGAGAUGGAACAAAGCUGUGUGAUCUUUGAGUACUGGGAGACAGCUGUUAAUAUCUUUCGAAACAACCCAGGAUGCUAUACUGCUUGAGAGCAACACUGGGGCAUGAUCUUGAGAGGUCUCUAAAGCCUAAAAUGGUCUGUGUGCCCACUCAGUGGAGGGAGGACUAUGUAGCCUCCCAAACCUCUGCAAAAUGAGCUUCAGGGGAAGAUCACUAGAGGCAUUCCUCAAUUCAAAGAAGACAAAAGCUAGGCAGAAGUUACCUGUGGAGGGCAAGACUCCUCCCGCCGUUGAAUUUUUCAGCUCCUCAUCCCAAUAGCUGGCCUGGAACCAAGUCAGUUCCUAGAUCAAGGUAUGAGGUUUGCUGAUAUCUUGCUAGAUGAAAACUUCACUGCUAAAAACAACAGCAUAAAAUAUGACCCAAGGGGUGAGGAUCCAAGAUGGCCGAAUAGAAACAGCUCCAGAGUGCAGUUCACAGCAAGAACAGCACAGAGGUUUCCUCAUCUGUACAAUGAGAGACUUGAAAAUGCACUACUACGGACAUCAUCCCAUCGUCUGUCUAACUUCCAGAUAAAAAUCCAAACUGCUUAUGGAGACUCAAGAUGGCACAGUGAGAACAACCCAGGAUUGAAGCUCUCGGUGAAUGCGCAGAGAGGUUCAUAGCUGAAUGUGCUGCUCUCCUAAUAAAGGCCACACAAUUGCCUGCUUUCCCAAAAUGCUGGUUUGCAAACAGCUUAGUUUUCAUAUUUUCGACCUCUACCUAGAAAGGCACGAAAGACAGUUGGUGUCAGGAGCUGAACCUGCCUGCUUUCUGAAGACUUCUGUGACAACAAGGCACAUUUGCAGAAGUGCAUUCCAUUUCAAAGUAUCUGGGAUCUUAGUGUGGCUGCAAAGACACAAUACAAGGUAGGAGUCUCUAACUGUACUCGACAAGAAAAUAGUGUCCUCAGAAUCAGACUCACGGACAGAUGGGUGGGGACGAGAUACAAAACACAUCUUCACAAUCUGGAGCAAUGACAUUUAAUAAAGUGAUUAGGCAGUGACAUUAAAUAAGUUCUCAGGCCAUCUUGGAAUGAUUAAUGUGGGUGGAUGGAGGCCAGGAUCUAUUGGAGGAGGGAUGUGGAAAGCUGUUCUUUUCAUUAAAAUGUGGGUUUUGGGGGGUUAAAUUUCAGGAAGUGGUUAUUAAUUUGAUUGUUCUUGGCCUUAAAAUGGUCUUGAUUAUUAAACAGCUCUCUUUUCACAUUGGGAGAAGGAGUGGGAAAAGUCUCUGUUUUCAUAUAUGAAGGACAGGAGGAAGGUGCUGGUGCUGAGUCCUUUGUUGGAACUAAAUACGUUGCUGUUCACAGGCUCUUUGGACUCUCCUCCAUCCACAGACCUGCCCUUUGUCUUGGCUAAAUGCUU